rnacentral:piRNA from 1 species
UACUCUUUUGGCCCUAGGUCUGUGGAGGG